rnacentral:lncRNA from 1 species
CCAGAAUCCACCAAGAUCCCUAAGGACUGGGUUUUGAACAAAACAGCGACCUCAGAGCCGCCUGGCCCGUCUCUCUCUUUGUGCUUUCGCCUCCCCUCAGCGCUUCCGCCUUUCUAAGAAGAUGCAAGAGCCAAAGAGACAUUAGGUCCUCCUUUAGGGCAAGGAAAGGGGGCAGAAAGACGCUGAAUUGCGGGGGGGGGGGGGAGGAAGGGAUGCGACCGCAAUCUUCCUUAUAUAUCUUGAACUCGAUAAUGAAUCCCGCGGAAUAACGUGCCAAAUAAACUAGGUAACGAGGCACAGACAAGACUGCGCUGUUAAAAAACCCAAACUGGCUGCUUCUGUGUGAGGCAGUUUGAGGAGUGACUACUAUCACCGUCUUACUGACGCAGAAACUCUAGUUAGAAAAGUCGGUAAGCUGAAGCGGGAAACUAAAGAGACACUUGAAGGACCACAAAUGCCUUGGAGUGGCAAAGUCGAGCUGCCAAGGGACACCUCUGGAGGAGCAGAGAGGGAAGAGGAGGACUGUUCUUAAGCAAGCAACAAAGGCAGACGAGAAAGAAGGGGUUGGGGAAUGCUGGACUGGGGCGGCAAAAAGAGGCACCGGUGGCUCAGCUUCGGCGGCCGACAGACAGGCUAACUAACACUACUUACUUCCAGAAAGAAAAACUUCGGAGCUGCUCCGCUUAGCCACGAAACAAGCAACAACUCCCCACCCCGCGUCUUAAUUAGCUCUGCCUGCGCUCUCUCGGCCCCCGAUGCGCCACCCAGGAACCAGAACUCACUUCCUGCUGAGCGCUGCUUUUCGCCAUGCGAGUCGGCGGAAAGGCGUCAAGCUUGGCCGGCCCGGGCGGGCGGGACGGAGGCCUUGGCACAGCUUGGCUUAAUGGGGCGAAGUUCUUGGCCUGGUUCCUUAACCUCUUUCCCCAGCGGCGCCCCUGGCUAGUUCUUGCCUCCUUGAGUCUCGGCCAAGUUCGCUCGCUCCCUCUCGCUGAAAAAAAAUUGGGGAAGCCGCCGGCUGGGGAGGAGACGGGCGGGCGUGUUUGUCCUGGGCAGCCUCCUCCACUANUCACUUCCCCUUCCUUUCUCUCUCUGGGCAACGAGGGCGUCGGAGGAUUCCGGCCCAGCAGCAAAUCACCAGCCAGCCAGAGAGAAGGCAGCGAUUUGUGGGGCAUCAGACUUUUGCUGGAUUCAGUAGGCUUUAUCCAGUCUAGCAGAUGAUUAAUUCUACUGAUGGCACAGAAAAGUGAAACAAAUGCAACCACCACCACAAGCAGAAAAAAAGGACCCCACAAACGAUUUUGUAAGGUGAGGCUAACGCGCCCAAGUCAGCACAGUCAGUGGGCAAGGAUGAUGGGAGCUGUAAUUCAACACAGGCUGUGUUAGCACUGGGCUACUGGACCAAGCGUGUGGCCCCUGGGGAAGGCUUAGCCCACACUGCAGGCCAAAUCCAGCAGCAAAACUAUGCUCCCUGGGAAAGCUGCAUCCAAAUGGACACAGUGUUGGACUUGGCUCUGGCAGGAAAAUGGCAACGAGGCC